rnacentral:lncRNA from 1 species
GCGCUGCUGCUUCAUCUUCCCCAUACGAACGACCUCCGUUACUGCUUCGUCUUCGCGCGAACAACUGAACGCGCCCCAACUGCUUCUGUUUCGUGUCGACUGCCGCUACUGUUUCGACGUACUUCUUAAAGUCGAGUUCGUCGUUGAGUUAGUCGUUGAGUCCGGACAGAUUUAUUCCCAUUUGAGGUUUGUCGAAACAGUCCAUACAAUCGAAUUCGUCGUUGUUCAUCUCCGGUUAGUUGGUUUUGAGUUUUAUUUUUAUCCGUAUUUCCUUUUGAUAUUUCUCGAAUCUAAAAUCGGUAGAUAUUUGAUUUUUGGCUUUGUUCAUGUUCAUAUGUUUUGUUGAAUUAAUUUUUCAGAUUUCAAAUGAAAGAUUAAUUAAUUAUUUUUCAUGUUAUUUCAUGUUUGUAUUGUUGUUUAGAUAAAUAUUUUA